rnacentral:rRNA from 1 species
GACGAACGCUGGCGGCGUGCCUAACACAUGCAAGUCGAGCGAAUGAAGUUCCUUCGGGAACGGAUUUAGCGGCGGACGGGUGAGUAACACGUGGGCAACCUGCCUCAUAGAGGGGAAUAGCCUUCCGAAAGGGAGAUUAAUACCCGCAUAAGAUUGUAGUACCGCAUGGUACAGCAAUUAAAGGAGCAAUCCGCUAUGAGAUGGGGCCCCGCGGCGCAUUAGCUAGUUGGUGAGGUAACGGCCCACCAAGGCGACGAUCAGUAGCCGGUCUGAGAGGAUGAACGGCCACAUUGGGACUGAGACACGGCCCAGACUCCUACGGGAGGCAGCAGUGGGGGAUAUUGCGCAAUGGGGGCAACCCUGACGCAGCAACGCCGCGUGAAGG